ACUCCCUUUUGUAGAGCCCGAGAGCCAGCAGGUCUUAAAGGGGCAGUACAGCGCUGGUAGCUCCUUUUCGGGCUGGGGAAAGUGGAGACGCACGGGAGAGUAUUAUAGUUUGGUUUAACUCCCUACUUUUCUAAAUAACUGCAGAAGAGUUUGCGCUCCCGGACAGAAAUAUUUAAAUAUUGCCAGCAAGCCACUGAAUCCUAUUCAUUAGCCUUUGGCUUUGCGUAUCAACAUUUUUAAUCCCCCAAAGGGUAAAUCCCCGUGUUUCAGUGCAAAAGUUGGAAGGCUGCCGUUUCGUGUUAACAAAUUACUACAUGUGCUCUGCCGUUUGCUAAUGCUCUGGGUCCUGCCGCUUUUUAAUAUUCUUAUUCCCGAAGUGUUCUCUUUAUCUCGGCCACCUUCCUCUCUCGCUUCUUGGAACUGUCGCUGCUGUUCCUGGCGACUCCAGGACAGCAACUCACCCUCCCCCUGGAACGUCUCAAUGUCAGGCUCGCUCCCUCCUGCAGCCAGGGCUUUCCUUACGUAGUGCAGGGGGGUUACUCUGCGCGGUUCCCCGCUACCACCCCUUCGGUUCUUCCCUCUACACCAGAAACUUCCAAAAUGCUCAGAUUCCUGCUAGGUGGUGGGACCUGGAGCUCUGAUCUUUAGGCUUAGGGGUAGGGAGGACUUAAGGCAACCUUUGGAAACUUUCUACUGCUAGGAAGCAAGUGACUAGGCAGAAGUUGUAGAGCCUGGACUGGGUGUUAUCAGGGUCCCUUUAGAGGAGUGGCACACGCGAUUCUGGCGUCACCUUUCACUACUUAGAUAGAAGGUGGAAAGAAUUUGCUAAUGAAUAAUCCGAUGUGACCCGAGGCGUCCAAUGAGUCUGUGUCUGCUUCAAGUCAGUGUGAACUCUUCACUGGCGAGCCCCUGACAAAAUUGGGAGACUUCUGCGAAGUCAGGCUUCCACUGGGCACCGGGAAGCUCUGGGGGGAUGAAAUCGCAU
rnacentral:lncRNA from 1 species